UGGAACAGAAACCAAACUUUUCCUUGAUGGU
rnacentral:piRNA from 1 species